UACGGAGGGUGCGAACGUUAAUCGGAAUCACUGGGUGUAAAGCGCGCGUAGGCGGUUUGUUAAGUGGGAUGUGAAAUCCCCGGGCUUAACCUGGGAAUUGCAUUUCAAACUGGCCGACUAGAGUACGGUAGAGGGAGGUAGAAUUUCCUGUGUAGCGGUGAAAUGCGUAGAGAUCCGGAGGAACACCAGUGGCGAAGGCGGCUGGCUGGACCUGACCUGACGCUGAGGCGCGAAGGCGUGGGGAGCGAACGGG
rnacentral:rRNA from 1 species